CAUCUUCCGAUCACGCUCCAGUGAGGGAAUUAAGGACGGCACAUUGUACUUGUAACAGGGAUCCAGCAGGGUGGCCACCCAGUAAUCAGAGUUAGAAUGUGGGCAACUCGGCAGUCGUUGCACAGGCACUUUGGUGACUCUAAAUAACCUCGGGCUGAUCGCACGUCCCCGUGACGGCGACGACGCAUUCGGAUGUCAACUUUCGAUGGUACUUUCUGCGCCUACCAUGGUGAUCAUGGGUAACGGGGAAUCAGGGUUUGAUUCCAGAGAGGGAGCCUGAGAAACAGUUACCACAUCCAAGGAAGGCAG